UGAUACGAAGGGGGCUAGCGUUGUUCGGAAUUACUGGGCGUAAAGCGUGCGCAGGCGGUUUUUUAAGCCAGAGGUGAAAUCCCGGAGCUCAACUUCGGAAUGGCCUUUGGAACUGGAAAGCUUGAGAACGGUAGAGGUGAGUGGAAUUCCCAGUGUAGAGGUGAAAUUCGUAGAUAUUGGGAAGAACACCGGUGGCGAAGGCGGCUCACUGGACCGUUUCUGACGCUCAGGCACGAAAGCGUGGGGAGCAAACAGG
rnacentral:rRNA from 1 species